UUGACGCAUCUAAACCUGCAACACACAAAACCCAUCAUCCUUCUGCAACACAUCGACAAAACCUUAUCCUUCAAGCAGAUUCAACAGCGGCGCAAUUCCCCCAAUUCAUCUCAAAUCCUUCGUCGGUUUUGAUUUCGAUUCCUCUCAGACCCAUCAUCAACUUUGAUUCUUCUUAAACCCUAAUUUCGUAUUCCCCCCAAUUUCAUCUUCCCCCAAUUUCUUCUUCCCCCAAUUUCUUGAUGAAACCAUUUAGCUAGCAAUUCAACUCAACAUUUUUGUGCUACAAUCGCAAUUCAACUCAACAUUUUGGUGCUACAAUCGCAAUUCAACUCAACGUUUCGAUGCUACAAUCUCAAUUCAUCUCAGCAUCGCAACUCAACGUUUCGUAUUCUCAUAAUUGUUGUGUCUUCUGUUGGAUAUUCUCUCUUUAGCUUUUCAAGAUUUUCUCUUCGGCGACUGUCGAUCUAUUUUUUGCGUUUUCUACUUCAAAGGUGGAAUCAAGGUUUUCGGUUGUGGCUUCAGGUGUAAAUCAUCAAGUUUCAUCAAGAGAGCUUCAACAUACAUCAUUGGAGAAUAUCUGAUUUGAAGGGGAACGAAACCAUGUCAUUUCCCGAUUUGAAAGGUUUGAAAGGCAUGACAAG